UAACGCGUGAGCAAUCUACCUUAGUUACUGGGAUAGCCCGAGGAAACUCGGAUUAAUACCGGAUAUUCUUAUUUUUUCACAUGAAGUUUUAAGGAAAGGUCAGCCGAACUAAGAUGAGCUCGCGUUCUAUCAGCUAGUUGGUGGGGUAAAAGCCUACCAAGGCUACGACGGAUAGCUGGUCUGAGAGGACGAUCAGCCACACUGGGACUGAGACACGGCCCAGACUCCUACGGGAGGCUGCAGCAGGGAAUAUUGUGCAAUGAGCGAAAGCUUGACACAGCGACACCGCGUGUGGGAUGACGGUUCUAGGAUUGUAAACCACUUUCAGGAGGGAAGAAAAUGACGGUACCUCCACAAGAAGACCCGGCCA
rnacentral:rRNA from 1 species